AAAAGGUAUUGAAAUAUAAAGUGUUUAGCAGAGGGAAAUUUUAAACGUCAUAUAUUAUAGUGACUGACACGAAAAUACCAUUUUACUAUUCAGUCUUUUAUAUCUUCUAUCUGUCAAUCUAUUUAUCUAUUCACAUAAACAAAUGCAUGUACAAGUCAACGUGGAUGGUGAAAAG